AAGUCGUAACAAGGUUUCCGUAGGUGAACCUGCGGAAGGAUCAUUACUGAGUUAGGGUCUUCCAGGCCCGACCUCCAACCCUUUGCCUACCUUACCUCUUGUUGCUUCGGCCGGCCCGUCCCCCCUAGAAAUAGGGGUCGACCGCCGGAGGGCUCACACCCUCUGGCCCGCGCCCGCCGAUGGCCCUCAACCAAAAACUCUUGUUCAAUCGUGAAUUGUCUGAGUAUACAAAACAAAAUAAACCAAAAACUUUCAACAACGGAUCUCUUGGUUCUG
rnacentral:misc_RNA from 1 species